CGGACGGGUGAGUAACGCGUGGGUAACCUGCCUUGUACUGGGGGGACAACAGUUAGAAAUGACUGCUAAUACCGCAUAAGCGCACAGUAUCGCAUGAUACAGUGUGAAAAACUCCGGUGGUACAAGAUGGACCCGCGUCUGAUUAGCUAGUUGGUAAGGUAACGGCUUACCAAGGCGACGAUCAGUAGCCGACCUGAGAGGGUGACCGGCCACAUUGGGACUGAGACACGGCCCAA
rnacentral:rRNA from 1 species